UACGUAGGGGACAAGCGUUGUCCGGAUUUACUGGGCGUAAAGAGCGCGUAGGCGGUCGUUCAAGUCGAGUGUGAAAGCCCCCGGCUCAACUGGGGAGGGUCAUUCGAUACUGAUCGACUCGAAGGCAGGAGAGGGAAGUGGAAUUCCCGGUGUAGUGGUGAAAUGCGUAGAUAUCGGGAGGAACACCAGUGGCGAAGGCGACUUCCUGGCCUGUUCUUGACGCUGAGGCGCGAAAGCUAGGGGAGCAAACGGG
rnacentral:rRNA from 1 species